AUGCCAGACUCCUACGGGAGGCAGCAGUGGGGGAUAUUGCACAAUGGGGGAAACCCUGAUGCAGCGACGCCGCGUGAGUGAAGAAGUAAUUCGUUACGUAAAGCUCUAUCAGCAGGGAAGAAAAUGACGGUACCUGACUAAGAAGCCCCGGCUAAAUACGUGCCAGCAGCCGCGGUAAUACGUAUGGUGCAAGCGUUAUCCGGAUUUACUGGGUGUAAAGGGAGCGCAGGCGGCGCGUUAAGCCUGGUGUGAAAGCCCGCGGCCCAACCGCGGGACUGCAUUGGGAACUGGCGCGCUGGAGUGCCGGAGGGGUAGGCGGAAUUCCUAGUGUAGCGGUGAAAUGCGUAGAUAUUAGGAGGAACACCAGUGGCGAAGGCGGCUUACUGGACUGUAAAUGACGCUGAGGCUCGAAAGCGUGGGGAGCAAACAGGAUUAGAUACCCGGGUA
rnacentral:rRNA from 1 species